rnacentral:rRNA from 1 species
CACGAAACUAUAUGAGCUAAUUUAAGUAUAAUACAUGUAGCAAAAUGAUAAUUGAACUUAAAUUAGGGGUGAUAGGCUUUACAAAUAUAGUGAUAUCUUGAUUCUUUUUAAAUGUAAUAGUACAAUGUCAUAUUUAAAGCUACAAGGUUUUAAAUGAUAAUUAAAUAUGAAUAAGAUUAUGUGAGAUAUAAAAAUCUACACAUCAAUUACCAUAAUAUAAAUAUCAAUUGAUUAUUAAUACUAAAAAGAGGUGUAAUAACUUUAAAUUAUAUUUAUUAUGUUAUUAUGAGUAUUAAGAAGUUAUUAAUAGUGAACUCGGCGUUAAGUUUUCAACUGUUUAUCAAAAACAUAGCCGCGUGUAAAUAUACGUGGUGUUUUCUGCUCAAUGAAUUUUAAAUAGCCGCAGUACCUUGACUGUGCAAAGGUAGCGUAAUCAUUUGUCUUUUAAUUGAAGUCGUGUAUGAACGAAUAUAUGGGGACUUUCUUUACCUUUAAUAAUAAUUGAAAUUACUUAAUGAGUGAAAAUACUCAUAGGAAAAUAAUAGACGAGAAGACCCUAGAAAUUUUUGUAAAUAUUUUGUUGGGGCAACAUAGUAACAGGAAACUUACUAUAUGUAUAUGAAAUUAUGUUUGAUAAAUUAAAUUACUCUAGGGAUAACAGCAUAAUAUAUAAAUGUUUGUGACCUCGAUGUUGGAUUAGGGAGUUAUAGUUUAGAA